rnacentral:rRNA from 1 species
CCCGCUGAACUUAAGCAUAUCAAUAAGCGGAGGAGAAGAAACUAACAAGGAUUCCCCUAGUAACUGCGAGUGAAGCGGGAAAAGCUCAAAUUUAAAAUCUGGCGGUCUUGCGGCCGUCCGAGUUGUAAUCUGGAGAAGCGUUUAUCCGCGUCGGACCGUGUACAAGUCUUCUGGAAGGGAGCGUCGUAGAGGGUGAGAAUCCCGUAUGUGACUGGCUGCCUCCGCCCAUGUGAAGCUCUUUCGACGAGUCGAGUUGUUUGGGAAUGCAGCUCAAAAUGGGUGGUAAAUUUCAUCUAAAGCUAAAUAUUGGCCAGAGACCGAUAGCGCACAAGUAGAGUGAUCGAAAGAUGAAAAGCACUUUGGAAAGAGAGUUAAACAGUACGUGAAAUUGUUGAAAGGGAAGCGCUUGCAAUCAGACUUGCGCGCUGCCGAUCAUCCGGGGUUCUCUCCGGUGCACUCGGUAGUGCUCAGGCCAGCAUCGGUUUAGGUGGUUGGAUAAAGGCCUUGGGAAUGUAGCUUCUCUCGGGGAGUGUUAUAGCCCUCGGUGCAAUGCAGCCUACCUGGACCGAGGACCGCGCUUCGGCUAGGAUGCUGGCGUAAUGGUUGUAAGCGACCCGUCUUGAAACACGG